rnacentral:rRNA from 1 species
AUGCUUAUGUUAGCUCUUAUGAGGUUCCUCCACUCUUCCAGGUGGAUUUUCUCUCUUGCUUUAGUUAUUAACAAUCUCGUGUUAUUUGUGAUUUUUCUCUUCCAGGUGGAAUUUUUCACUUGCUUUGGUGAUCAACAAUCUUGUGUUAUUUGUGAUUAUUUUCUCUUCCUGGUGGGAUUUUUCACUUGCUUUAGUGAUCAACAAUCUUGUGUUAUUUGUGAAUAUUUCUCUUACAGACAUCAAGCUUUGGAGAUAUGUGGGAGGUUUAGUGCAAACAAGCAAAAUACUUGUGGGAAUCAUAGACAUGGCAGGAAGCAGGUUUAUUUCAUCAUAUUACACCAGUAUCCAGUGAGGCUGGCGUGUUGGAUAGGCCCCAUCCACAAGCUUGAGCGGUUCAGCUCACAUAACAUAUUUAUUUACAUCUUUUCAGGCGGCCGGCUUGAAGUCCUGGAGCUGCUUGAAGUUCUCCCAGGCCUUCUCCCACACCUUGGCCUCGUAGAGCUUCUUGGCGCCGCCUUCCUUGACCUCGAUGGUGAAGUAGUGCAUGCACCCGGCCACCACCUGCUGCCUCACCUUCACCAGCCUCUCGAACUCCAGCAGCGCGUUCUGCGCCCAACAAAAUUCACCACCGAUCCGUCAGGCAGGUUAAUCAAGAAAAUUCACCACCGAUCCGUCAGGCAGGUUAAUCAAGAAAAUUCACCACCGAUCCAUCAGGUUAAUCAGUCAGUUACAGUUAAUCGUAUGAGACGCCAGAUGACUUGGGAUCGGGCGGGGAUGAUCUUACGGCCUUGGUGUUGUGCUCGGCGACGGCGAAGCGCGCGAGCUCGAUGGUCUCGAGGUCGUUCUCCCGCCCCGCCGGCGCGUCCUGGACGCCGCCCAGCAGAGCGCCGCGGCCGCGUAGCCCCCCGCCCUGCGCCGCCUCGGCCAUGGCUGCCGUGCGUCCGGAGGGUGGAUUGUACGACGGAUGGCCGCUGCAGAGAGUCUGAGAGAGAACAGAUCUGUUCCGUGAGUCCAGACGAUGUUGAUCGAGGGAAGUGGGGGACGAGACUUUAUAGCGAGGUGGGGGGUAGAGGGAUUCCGUUUUUGUGCGAUGUUCCCUGUCAAACGACGUGUGAUUUGCGGGGGCGCGACAGCUAUGGGCGACGGACGGACCGGACGCGGUACGCGGCCGCGCUGGCGCUGUGCGUCGACGCGACGGACGCGGUACGCAGCAGCGCUGGUGCUGUGCGACGGCGACGGCGACGGAUGGCGUUGUUGUAA